rnacentral:rRNA from 1 species
GACGAACGCUGGCGGCGUGCUUAACACAUGCAAGUCGAACGGAAAGGCCCUGCUUUUGUGGGGUGCUCGAGUGGCGAACGGGUGAGUAACACGUGAGUAACCUGCCCUUGACUUUGGGAUAACUUCAGGAAACUGGGGCUAAUACCGGAUCGGAGCUCCUGCUGCAUUGUGGGGGUUGGAAAGUUUCGGCGGUUGGGGUUGGACUCGCGGCUUAUCAGCUUGUUGGUUGGGUAGUGGCUUACCAAGGCAUUGACGGGUAGCCGGCCUGAGAGGGUGGACGGCGACAUGGGGACUGAGAGACGGACCAGACUCCUACGGGAGGCAGCAGGGGGGAAUAUUGCACAAUGGGCGGAAGCCUGAUGCAGAAACGCCGCGUGCGGGAUGACGGCCUUCGGGUUGUAAAACGCUUUCGCCUGUGACGAAGCGUGAGUGACGGUAAUGGGUAAAGAAGCACCGGCUAACUACGUG